GACGAACGCUGGCGGCGUGCUUAACACAUGCAAGUCGAACGCUGAAGCACCAGCUUGCUGGUGUGGAUGAGUGGCGAACGGGUGAGUAAUACGUGAGUAACCUGCCCUUGACUCUGGGAUAAGCCCGGGAAACUGGGGCUAAUACUGGAUGCUACAUGUCACCGCAUGGUGGUGUGUGGAAAGGGUUUACUGGUCUUGGAUGGGUUGACGGCCUAUCAGCUUGUUGGUGAGGUAAUGGCUCACCAAGGCGACGACGGGUAGCCGGCCUGAGAGGGUGACCGGCCACACUGGGACUGAGACACGGCCCAGACUGCUACGGGAGGCAGCAGUGGGGAAUAUUGCACAAGGGGCGAAAGCCUGAUGCAGCGACGCCGCGUGAGGGAUGACGGCCUUCGGGUUGUAAACCUCUUUCAGCAGGGAAGAAGCCACAAGUGACGGUACCUGCAGAAGAAGCGCCGGCUAACUACGUG
rnacentral:rRNA from 1 species